rnacentral:lncRNA from 1 species
CCAGGAGCAGGGGAUGAAAUAAAAUACAAAUGCAGAAGAACUGUAAUGGCUGCUUAAAGGAAUUCUUAAGUCUCCCACGACAUCUAGGGAGUUGGGACUUGGAUUUGAACAACUUUAUUUCAUAGACAUUGGGGUCUGACUACUUUAGUGAGCAAAGCUUUAGUUCACUAACUAUUAUGGUGGUCCCUUUGAAUCUCAAGAGGAGGCCAGGAGCUAAGUCUCAGCUCAAGUGUGAGGAAAACGGAGCUCACAGCACCAAAUAUUUCCUGCUGUUUGGAGGCUGAUUCUGACCUACAGCAGGCAUGGUAAGACUUGUCAAGUUCUUCCUCAUAUCUGGCUAU